GGAUCCAGGGCCUGCUCCGAACCCUCAGGGUCAUUGGCAAAGCAGGACUGAGUAGAGUCUGUCGUGACCGCUCUAGGGGUUUCUGUCCCUCAGGCUUUGGCCACAAGGGUCACCGGGGCUGGCAGGGUCGUCUGGGGCCAGUGGAGUCCUGGGCACUGACCAGCUUCCCACCUGGCCCAGUGCACUGUCGUCUUGGCUGCAGGCAGAGCACAGAGAACAAGAGUCACAGGGCUGCAUCUAGACGACGCCUGCGGCUGAAUUCUAAAUCUGCCACCUUCCAGCCGUGAGAGCCCGGGCCAGCUGCUUAUUUCCACUGAGUCCCAGUUUCCCCAUCUGUGAAAUGGGGCUAGUCAGCCGGGCUGUUGUGAAGAUGCGUGUACUGUGACUCGCAUGUUGAGCCCGGUGGCUGACUCAAGUGAGGGCUCUGUCAACGUCAGCCAUUCAUAACAACAAUAAAUAUUAUGAUGAUUCCUUCCGGAAAUACCUGUGGAGCACCUGUGACAGGCCAGGUCCUAUGCAGGGUGCUCUUGGACGAUGGAGGAAAGAUGACUGGAACAAGCUUAUCAUACUUGUACAAUGCAGGACAGGAAAGAACAAGACCUUUGCAACUUGGUGCCAAUGGUGGAGAGUCAGCCAGAAAGCAGCACGAGAGUCAUCAUGCAUUAAUCCACAACUCAUUCACAAAUUCCCUGGUUACCUGUGAGGAGGGAUGCAGAUCCACGAUUACUCAGCUGCUAAAUUACAAGGAACCAAAUGGGGAAACAAAUUUCUGUAUCCAAAAAACCUUAAAGACCAUCAAAUCCCAAUCAUUUCUUCAGAGAAUGAUCAUGAUUUUGAUCUUGGUUCAAAUUCAGAUCCUGUUAUUUACUACAUGUAAGAUUUAAUACGACUUUGAAUCUCGCUGACCUGUAACAUGGAAAUAAUUCUUAUUCAACAUGGUUGUCAUGAGGUUGAAAUGACAUUAAGUGGGAUAAUUUACGCAAAGUAAAGCAUGUGAUCAUAGGUGUGUAUACACUUAGUGUUUGGAUCAAUUUUAAAAUGUACGCUGUACCUGGAUCUGAUUAAAAUGCUCACUUCUUGAGCAACAAUAACAUUGGG